rnacentral:sRNA from 1 species
GCUAGGUGUAAUAACACACACCUGUAAUCCUAGUAACUCAGGAGGCUGAGGCAGGAGGAUUGCAAGUUUGAGACUAGGCUUGGCAAUUUGACAAGACUCUGUCUCAA